rnacentral:lncRNA from 1 species
GGCCGCAAGAUCUGUUAGCAAGUUCUCUAGUCCUAAACAUCUAAAACGUUAAACUUAGUUAAGUCACAGCUCGAUAACAAAAACGAAAUUGCCUAAAACUGCUCCAAGUGUUAAGUUGCUAAGAAAUUUUUUGUCUCUUUUGUCCUCUUUGCCUAGGUCCUCUUUAUAUAUGCCUCCAAGGUCGGUCGUCUUUCUUCUCCCGCCCAGAUUCAAGUUAUCCUUUUGCAUAGAUCAUUCAUUAUCUUCUCAGAAUCCAUGUUUAUCUUGGAAACUUCACAUUUAUCCAACUUUCCCAUCUUUCUUUAUCCAAGUCGAGUAAAUCGUCAUUGCUAUCCGGACACGUUCUUAUUUUAAAUCUUAAGUAGGGUUCUUUCUCAGGAAAUCGUUAAUUUGUCCGACAUACGUUUUUAUGUCAUUGGUCCUACAAAAUGAUAAAAACCAAUUCAUUUAGUAAAAACUACGAUGAUGUUAAGUUAUUCUCGACUCGACUUUUGACUUCAAUUUUUACGAGAAAACACAUGUUGCUUAUUUUCUUCAUAAAAUCUCAACGAAAAAUCCGAUUGCAAUGAAACGAAAGACAUUUCGAAAUAUUUUCAAAGGAGAACAUGAUGGAGACUUCAAAGGGCGAUGAGGGUCCCCAUUGCGCGACAAGGAUCCAAGAGAGAGCCAUUGUGUGACGAGGGUGAGAAAAGCGACAUGGAGCUAAGUGGGAGCCAUUGGGCGAUGGGGGUAUAUGAGAAGGGCGAUGAGGAGCUGAGAGAGAGCCAUUUCGUGACGGGGGUAUAUGAGAAAGGUGAUGAGGAGCUGAGAGAGCCAUUGGGCAGCGAGGGUAUAUGAGAAGGGCAAACUGGAGCAGAGUGAAAGGCCAUUGGGCAAUGGGUAGUGUUAGAUGGGCGAUGAGGCCUUUCUCCUAUUCUCAUUCCCUCCGUUGAUUGUUUCGUAUACUCUUGGAACCAUUUUUUUUGUUUUACGAAAAUUUUUCCAUAAAGAUUUUCUGAAAGUUGUUUUGCGAAAGAUUAUCUUAUAGAUUUUCCUAUAAGGUUCUUUCUUGGAAACUUUCUGAUUUUUUUCACCGAAGAUUAUUUCGUAAAACUCGUCCUUUCUCACAAAAACUUUUUGCAAGAACGUUGUUCCAAUAUUUUAUGUUUGGAUAGAAACUCUUUCAUCCCUUGUCUGGGAUGGAGUUUUGUU